rnacentral:rRNA from 1 species
UACGGAGGAUGCGAGCGUUAUCCGGAUUUAUUGGGUUUAAAGGGUGCGUAGGCGGAUCGUUAAGUCAGUGGUCAAAUUGAGGGGCUCAACCCCUUCCCGCCAUUGAAACUGGCGCUCUUGAGUGGAAGAGAAGUAUGCGGAAUGCGUGGUGUAGCGGUGAAAUGCAUAGAUAUCACGCAGAACCCCGAUUGCGAAGGCAGCAUGCCGGCUUCCGACUGACGCUGAAGCACGAAAGCGUGGGGAUCGAACAGG